UUUUUUUUUUUUUUUUUUACCAGUCCAUGAUCUGUCGGGGCUUCAGAGAAUCACUCUGAUGGAGACAGGCCAUGCCCCUGCUACCUGAGGACCAUGUGGUUAAUAACAGUGAUUGGAUGUUUGGGUGAUUUUAGCCACAGUCUAUGUCCUAGUAGCAGUAGUGUCAAUAAUUUGGGAGGAACAUACCUUUGCCCCUUAGAAAGGCAUUUUACCACCCCAAAGUCCUAGAAACCUACAGAGUCCUACAGAACUACACAGAGCCGGGGGAACUGGCAUUUAAGGGGGUGGAUUUAUGCAUUGACAGAGUUCACCGUCAUCCCUAAAUUCUCAUCAAAUGCAGAGAGCCAGAGUGUGGACAGGUACUUUCCUAAAGCAACAGUCAAAACCCAGGGAUACUGGGGUUAACUAAAAGUGUUGUGGUUUGUUUAUGUUUUGAUAUAGAAGGGACCUUGGGCCAAUGCAUAUAGACUAUGGUGCAAAUGGCGCCCCCUGGAGCACAGAAUUAGAAUACAGAAUUUCCAUUCAUUUAUUCAUUUAUUCAUUUCUUUCUUUAUUACUGUUCCAGACUUAUUUUCUGGUUGUAACUUAUUCAGAUAAAUACUGCAGUGAACUUGUAGCACCAAGUGGACAGAUCAGCUGGAGGCGCUGGGCAGUGAUAGACAGUUUAGGUGGCUUAGGGAGCUAAACUCACAUGGAGAAUAUGCAGCUUUUUUGCAGACUGGGUAAUAAGGGAAGGUGCAUGAUGCUUAGGUAAUAGAAGGCAGUCCACUAUGUAACCUGUAUUUACAAAUGGGGAAAGGACAUGGAGAAUGAGAGCAAUUCGAGAGGGCUGCUAGACCUUUCCAGGUUUUGGCAGGACCUUCAAGGAGAGCGGCAAGGUUCAUGGAGGAGGAUGGCGUAAGUUCUCUCGAAGCAGUCACAACCCGGCAAAGAGAGGCAGCUUGAUGGAGGAGAUAAACAUCCAUGGACCGCGAUGCUUGGUGCAGCGUCAGUCAGCUCACUGGGACUGAUAUCCUCAUCUACAGUGAAAGGCUUGGGCUGGAUUAUACCUGAGGCCUCCUGAUGCUUAUGGUUUUCAUAUUUUCUGGCCUGAAGUAGGGGAUAGAGAGGGCAGUUUGAGGUGGACAGCAAGCUGUC
rnacentral:lncRNA from 1 species